UUAGUUAAAGCCAAAAAUAGAGGCCUCUUAUUGUUAAUAAGAAAAAUGAUUAAAUAUCUAACUAAA
rnacentral:tRNA from 2 species